rnacentral:lncRNA from 1 species
AAGGGCUCCAGGUAUGGGGGCCAAAACAGGUUCAGCAGGGAUGAUUAGCCGCAGAAGAACCUCAGCUUUCUGGACUGACUCCUCCAGGAAGCAGGAAAGGAGAGUAAGAGUCCCCUGCCUCAUGUAUCCUAAGGGGCAGUUAAGUGAAAUCAUCGGGAAAGACGCUAAGGAAAGAAGACCAUUUAUGAUGCAACAACCUCUCUGUACCAUCAUCAUUAGAGGUGACAGCAGUUUUGUACCAAUGUACUUUUCAGAUGUCCUUUCGGUGCCACAUUUUCCAGUAAACAACUCUGACCCUUGACUUGAAAACUUUCUUUGAACUGAAAGUCCUUUUGAACUGCACUCUAGUUGUCUAAAUUACUUAACCUUAACCUCUCUGGAUGCAUAAGAGUUAGCCCGAAACAAGCAUCUCACCACAGGACUGAAUCUUACACACUAAAAUCUUGCCUGUUGGGACUUUUUUUAUGUGUUUGUUUUCAAAGAAUUGUCCCUUUAGAUUUGUGACAGAGACCGGACCAAAGUAACUUGAGAACCAGCACACAGAGAUUCUAAAAAUUUAGAUUGGUCUCACUUAAUACAAAUGUUGAAAAUGCAAAAUAGUUGCCCGGGGCUGGCCAGCUUGGGGAGUUCUUUCCUUGACUGGUGUGUGUGAUUGGGGUGGGGGUGGGGGGCAGUGUUAAGGAGGUUAUACAGAGCCCAGAGUCUCUGUUCCC